UGAAAGAAUUGAUUUUGUGAAGCAUAUAACAGAUCUGGAGAAAUCGGAUAAUCUGCUGCUAGCAAAUCACAUAUACUCAUAUCAGAAGAUCCUAGAAUCGUAAUUAAUAUCAUAUUUUGUAACUAACGAAAGAGUUAAUUCUGUUGAGCCUGUUUAUGCCGGAAAAUCGGAAGAACUGCAGCUGGUUUUUUGAUAUCAUGCUAACAGAUCUAGAUAUUUUACGACCUAUGAUUUAUUCACUUUUGCGAGUAUAAGAACAAAAAAACGGGAACAUUUGCAAUAGAAAACAGUGAUCACGUUACAGUUUAAGAUAACUAAUCUAAUAAAAAGGUCACAAUAACGAAUCAUACUGUGAUUGAAAAACCACGACAUUGACCAACACUAAACAGAUCACAUAUUCGUUUCAGUUGAUCGUGGACUGAUUGACAUUAUAUUUUGUAGUCCAUGUGUAGCGAAAAAAUUAAUUUAAAAACACAAAUAUAACUUCGACUUUUAUUUCUUGUAUCUUUAUUUAUGUUUUCUACUCUAUAUCAGUUCAUUCAAUAUGCAAUAUCACCAAUGCUAAUUAUCUUAUAGUCCGUUUCAAUUUCGAUUGGUGGUCGUCUGUCAUCAAUACCACUGAAUACACCACGGAAUGAAUGAACUAGGUCGAAGCACACCAACAAACACCCUGUAAAUAGUCGAACAAAUCUGUCUGCUACAAGGACUCAGUUUCCGUUUAUCUCUGAUGCGAGUGUCCCAGAUGCUGCAAUGGGGAUCCGGCGAUCAAUUAAAUCAGGGCUCAUGUCCACUUAAUUAGCUGUUAAAGAAAGGGGAAGAAUGGCAUUGGAAGGAAAUGGAGCAAUCGACAUUUGAAAAGC